rnacentral:lncRNA from 10 species
CCAAUUACCCCUCAAACACCCUACCUCCAAAUGCAAUCAACAGAUGAAUUUGGGAAUUAGGUUUCCAACACAUGAAAUUUGGGGGACACAUUCGAAGCAUAACAUCCCCGUACCUUUUUUUCCCACAUGACAUUGACUUUUUCGAGUCCAACAAAGUUGUUUUGUAGAAUGACCUAUAUUCUGGAUUUGUCUGGCUAUUUCCUUAUGAUAUUGGUAACUUUCAUCCAUCCACUUAAUUUAAUGUAUUUGGUUAAAUCAAUAUACUUGUAUUAGGCUGUUUUUGCAUUGCUAUAAGGAAAUGCCUGAGGCUGAGUAAUUUAUAAAGAAAAGAUGUUUAACUAGCUCACAGAUCUGCAGGCUAUAAAAGGAUGCCACUGGCAUCUGCUUUUCUUCUUGGGAGGCCUCAGGGAGCUUUUUACUCAUGGCAGAGGUGAAGCAGAAACAGGGACAUCUGAAGAGCAAGAAGCAGGGGAAGGGGUGCCACAUAGUUUUAAACAACUAGAUCUCCUGAGAACUCACUGUCGCAAAGACAGCACCAAGUUGGCUGGGUGUGGUAGCUCACACCUGUAAUCCCAGCACUUUGAGAGGCCGAGGCGGGCGGAUCAUUACUGAGGUCAGGUGUUCGAGACCAGCCUGACCAACA